UACGUAGGGGGCAAGCGUUAUCCGGAUUUACUGGGCGUAAAGGGCGCGUAGGCGGCCACCGCAAGUCGGUUGUGAAAUCUCCGGGCUUAACCCGGAAAGGUCAAUCGAUACUGCGGGGCUAGAGUGCAGAAGGGGCAACUGGAAUUCUCGGUGUAGCGGUGAAAUGCGUAGAUAUCGAGAGGAACACCUGCGGCGAAGGCGGGUUGCUGGGCUGACACUGACGCUGAAGCGCGAAAGCUAGGGGAGCGAACGGG
rnacentral:rRNA from 1 species